AUUAACAUCCCGCUCCCGGUGGCGCAGGGGAGCCGGCCAAAGUUCCUCGCAAAGUGGCGAGCGAAGGAGCGCUGAGCACUGACGUCUGGGCUGGGGAGGAGCGGGUCCGAGCGAGGACGGAGAGGGGACAGAGGGAAAGGGAGGCGGGUGUCUUCCUCAGGAAUUUGAGCUGGGGAUCUGCAUCCUGGCCAUUGCAGUCCUUUAGCAUCCUCGCCGCGCCCUGAGCGCGCUGGAGGCUCGCAGGCUGCGCCCUCCCAGGGCUGAUGCCGCGUCCUGCUCCGCCGUUCUGGGACGUCGGGGACAAAAGUGGAGGAGACGGGAGAGCCCGGGCAGAAAAAGCAGGACGCGCGUCCCAGACAUGAUCGCUGGUAACAGAUGCCUGGUUCACUCUCAUCCUGGCCAUACCUGAGGACUAUGCUCCUCUUCUAGAAGUUCGGUGCAGUCAUCUGACUUAAUUGAUUCAGCGCAUUUAUCUGCAGGCUGGAGUACAAUAGCACGACAUCAGCUCACUGCAACAUCUGCCUCCCGGGUUCAAGCAAUUCUCCUGCCUCAGCUUCCCGAGUUGCUGGGAUUACAGGCACCUGCCACCAUGCCCAGCUAAUUUUUGUAUUUUUAGUAGAGAUGGGGUUUCACCAUGUUGGUCAGGCUGGUCUUGAACUCCUGACCUCAGGUGAUCCACUUGCCUCGGCCU
rnacentral:lncRNA from 1 species